rnacentral:rRNA from 1 species
UGUUUGUGAAGAUGCAAUCGUCCCGCGGCUAGACGAAAGACCCCAUGAACCUUUACUGUAGCUUUGCAUUGGACUUUGACGGGACUUGUGUAGGAUAGGUGGGAGGCUUUGAAACCGGGACGCCAGUUCCGGUGGAGCCAACCUUGAAAUACCACCCUGGUGUCGUCGAGGUUCUAACCCAGGCCUGUGAAUCCAGGUCGGGGACCGUGCAUGGUGGGCAGUUUGACUGGGGCGGUCUCCUCCCAAAAGGUAACGGAGGAGUACGAAGGUCACCUAGGUACGGUCGGACAUCGUACUGAUAGUGCAAUGGCAAAAGGUGGCUUGACUGCGAGACCCACAAGUCGAGCAGGUGCGAAAGCAGGUCAUAGUGAUCCGGUGGUUCUGUAUGGAAGGGCCAUCGCUCAACGGAUAAAAAGGUACUCAGGGGG